UGUCAAUCAAUGUUCAUCACGAAGGUGAGCAUGGUGCCAAGUAUCUGAAAGAAGGAAAAGAAUAAUGGAUUUGACAUUGCAUAGCAGGAGUGAGGAUGCGGAGCAGGCAAAUCCUCAUCACUUCCACUUCUCCGCCAGGUAUCAUUACCAACGAAAAAGAACUUGGAGUGGGACAAGGUCAGCUUAGGUCAGCCCAUAACACCUUGCUGCCUCCCCAAAGCACUUCCAGGGAGCAGAGCAAGGGCUCCAUCUGCCUCCAGAACCACCAAUCUCUGUAACGCUUUCAUUGCUGAAGGAUCUCCUCCCCUCUCCAACCUUCACGCUGUGGUCACAGCAUCCAAAAGGACAGAGUUGAGCCCUCGAGGAACUUAUGCAGUUUCCCACCCCACCAACCCAAGGCUUUUACUCAUCACUCCCACCUACUCCCCCCAACCCUUUACUCCAGCACAAUUUCCCUGUGAAGCUUAAGCUUUUAGAGAACAAAGCCAGAAAGGGGGUUAUCUUCAAGCAGCAUCUCUUCUCAAGGAUCUUCAGGAAUCAGGGAGCCCAAGAGGCUAACUUGCUUGGAAAGCGCUGGCUGCUCUGGGUGUAUCCCACAGACUGCCCAGACAGGCUGUGCUGCCUAUUCUCUGGUUGCCCCUCCAGAUUCACCCUCCCCCCUUCUCCACCCCGCCCUGCACCCUGGGAGGCUGGCUUGCAUGGACUGCAUCACCCAGGCACCCUUGCCUUCUAACUUCCAGUUAUGUUUGUCAGUGGGAGGCAUUAGUCUGGGAGGAUAAGAAGAGAAGGAAGUCAGACAUUUAUUUCCUUGCUGGGUCAUGGUUAUGUCCCUUUACCAAAGGGCACAGUGGCUGUCAGGCAGCCCCUUACUACUGCUAUAGCUCUGAUACAGGUUAAAUUGUGUCCCCCCCAAAAGAUAUUGGGCCCCCAGUACCUCAGGUGACCUUAUUUGGAGAUAGGGUCUUUACAGAGGAAAUCAAGUUAAAAUGAGGUCAUUAGGAGGAGUCCUAUUCCAAUAUGACUGAUGUCCUUAUGAAAAGGGGAAAUUUGGACACAGAUUGAGAUGAUAUAAAGAGAUAUGGAGAACAUGGUCAUCUACAAGCCAAGGAAAGCGGACAGAUCCUUGCCUCGCAGUCCUGAGAGGGAACCAACCCUGCUGACACCUUGGUUUCAGACGUCGAGCCUCCAGAACUGUGAGGAAAAAAUUUCUGUUGUUUAAGCCCCCCAGUUUGUGGGACUUCAUUACGGCAACCCUCGCAGACCAACACAAGCUCUCAUCGGGUUCUGGGAACACCUCCGCCCUUGUCCCUUCAGGCCUAGGGGUGAUAAAGACACCUGCUGUUGCCAGUCCCCAGAUGCCUUACCAUCCCUUGUCGGUUUCCCUUAAUCCUCUCCACUCCUCAAACCCUUCAUUCAAUUCCCAUCGAUUAUUCUGUUGAAUGUGCCAUAUGUUUCCUGAUACUCAAGCCUAGCAUAUAAUUAUAUUUUCCCAAAAUACUUCACAAAACUAACACGAAGGCAAGAUAAAGGUCUGUUGGGGUCCCCAAUUAUGCAGACAUGUACUGGGAAUCUUCUAUCACUCCAAAUAAAGCAUCUGACAUCUUUUUACUUUC